rnacentral:rRNA from 1 species
UACGUAGGGCGCAAGCGUUGUCCGGAUUUAUUGGGCGUAAAGAGCGUGUAGGCGGCCUGGUAGGUCAGUUGUGAAAACUCGAGGCUCAACCUCGAGACGCCGAUUGAAACCAUCAGGCUAGAGUCCGGAAGAGGAGAGUGGAAUUCCCGGUGUAGCGGUGAAAUGCGCAGAUAUCGGGAAGAACACCCGUGGCUAAGGCGGCUCUCUAGUACGGUACUGACGCUGAGACGCGAAAGCGUGGGGAGCGAACAGG